rnacentral:miRNA from 1 species
CUGAUGUUUUUAGAAUUAGCCC